rnacentral:rRNA from 1 species
GACGAACGCUGGCGGCGUGCCUAACACAUGCAAGUCGAACGAGGUCCAAGGGAGCUUGCUCCCUGAAGACCUAGUGGCGAACGGGUGAGUAACACGUGAGAAACCUGCCCUCGAGUGGGGAAUAACCCGGGGAAACCCGGGCUAAUACCGCAUACGCUCCUCUGGUCGCAUGGCCGGAGGAGGAAAGUUUUUCGCUCAAGGAGGGUCUCGCGGCCUAUCAGCUUGUUGGCGGGGUAACGGCCCACCAAGGCUACGAAGGGUAGCUGGUUUGAGAGACCGAUCAGCCACACUGGGACUGAGACGCGGCCCAGACUCCUACGGGAGGCAGCAGUGGGGAGUCUUGCGCAAUGGGCGAAAGCCUGACGCAGCAACGCCGCGUGCGGGAUGCCGGCCUUCGUGGUUGUAAACCGCUUUCAGCAGGGACGAAAAUGACGGUACCUGCAGAAGAAGCUCCGGCUAACUACGUGCCAGCCGCCGCCGUAA